rnacentral:rRNA from 1 species
UAACGUAGCGAAAGUUUACGCUAAUACCGCAUAUUCUGUGAGCAGGAAAGCAGGGGAUCGCAAGACCUUGCGCUGAUUGAGCGGCCGAUGUCAGAUUAGCUAGUUGGUGAGGUAAAGGCUCACCAAGGCGACGAUCUGUAGCGGGGUCUGAGAGGAUGAUCCGCCACACUGGAACUGAGACACGGUCCAGACUCCUACGGGAGGCAGCAGUGGGGAAUUUUGGACAAUGGGGGCAACCCUGAUCCAGCCAUGCCGCGUGAGUGAAGAAGGCCUUCGGGUUGUAAAGCUCUUUCGGCCGGGAAGAAAUCGCAUGGGUUAAUACCCUGUGCGGAUGACGGUACCGGCAUAAGAAGCACCGGCUAACUACGUG